UUGCUUUCGCAGCCGAGACCUCUGGGACAACAUUAGCUCCCAAACCACCACAAAGACCGCGUCGUCCACGUCCCAGACCUAAAACCACACCGAGCCCUCAAGUACCUCACACCAAACCGGUUCCUGCUCUAGUCCUUGAACCUGUCACUCUUAGACCGGAGGCCCCAGGAACAACAGUAGCUUCCAAAACA